CCAUGGAAGUCGGAAUCCGCUAAGGAGUGUGUAACAACUCACCUGCCGAAGCAACUAGCCCUUAAAAUGGUAUGGCGCUGAAGCAUUCUCCCGAUACUCGACCGCCGGGGCACUAGCGGCCACGCCCCAGAGGCGAGGUCUCGAAGCCCCGGUGAGUAAGAGGGUCGCAGUGGUGAGCGCUGAAGGGAUCCGGCGUGAGCCGGCCUGGAGCCGCCACUGGUGCAGAUCUUGGUGGUAGUAGCAAAUACUCGAGAGAGACUCCCUCGAAGACCGAUGUGGAGAAGGGUUCCAUGUGAACAUCAGUUGGACAUGGGUUAGUCGCUCCUAAGCCCAAGGCUAAGGCCUGAUCCCAUGCUAGCGGC
rnacentral:rRNA from 1 species